UACAGAGGGUGCAAGCGUUAAUCGGAAUUACUGGGCGUAAAGCGUGCGUAGACGGUUAUUUAAGUCAGGUGUGAAAGCCCCGGGCUCAACCUGGGAAUUGCAUUUGAGACUGAAUAGCUAGGGUGCGGAAGAGGGAAGCGGAAUUUCCGGUGUAGCGGUGAAAUGCGUAGAUAUCGGAAGGAACACCAGUGGCGGAAAGCGGCUUCCUGGUCCAGCACCGACGUCAGGCACGAAAGCGUGGGGAG
rnacentral:rRNA from 1 species